ACCCUCAAAAGAAGGGUCAGAGUCCGGCAGUCUUGAGGUUCAAAUUAAAGAUUUAACAAUAAUCGCAUGUGCUUAUUUUAAGAUUCAUGCAGUUGCACUUUCACUGGAAUUAUAAGGUA